rnacentral:rRNA from 1 species
GAUGAACGCUGGCGGCGUGCCUAAUACAUGCAAGUCGAGCGAACCGAGGACGGGUGAGUAACACGUGGGUAACCUCCUCUAAGACUGGCUUCACUUCGGCAUACCUGAUCUAGACCCGCUCCUUAUACAUGGUUCCGCGCUGCAUUAGCUAGUUGGUAAGGUAACGGCUUACCAAGGCAACGAUGCAUAGCCGACCUGAGAGGGCGAUCGGCCACACUGGGACUGAGACACGGUCCAGACGCCUACGGGAGGCAGCAGUAGGGAAUCUUCCGCAAUGGGCGAAAGCCUGACGGAGCCAUGCCGCGUGAGUGAUGAAGGUCUUCGGAUCGUAAAGCUCUGUUAUUAGGGAAGCGGUACCUAAAGAGAAAGCAACGGCUAACUACGUGCCAGCAGCCGCGGUAAUAC